CAUUAUGUUCAAAACGAUUUAUUUUUAUAUUAUGUCGUUUAAGAAAUUGAAUUUUAAGAAUCGUGUUGCGAACGAUGGUUAAAGUAAAGUUUAAUCUUAGUAAAUAAACUACAUUUCAAGAAACAUUCGGUGUAAAGAAAUCAAAAUUCACUUAGAUCUAUUUCGAGUACCGGGUUUAGUUCGUGAAUAACGGUAAAAUUUAUGUUUCUUCAUUAUUCACAAACAAUUUAAACGAUGUCAUGAUGUGUAAAGGGGUAUAAAAUAAUUUACGUUGACCGUUUUUCACCAUCUAGUUUCGCUAAAUUGAGUUAAUGAUUAUGGUCAAUGUUCACUUAGAUUCCUUUCCAUAUAAUUUUUUUUUGUUGGUCAAUGUGAAAUAAAGUGAGCGAAUUCAAAUAUCAAAAAGAAAGUCCUGUAGAAGAAAUGACAUCUGGAAGAUUGAUUAUGAAAUAAUUG